GACGAACCGUCCAAACGUUAUUCGGAAUUACUGGGCUUAAAGGGUGCGUAGGCGGGCAGGUAAGUCAGUGGUGAAAUCUCCGAGCUUAACUCGGAAACUGCCAUUGAUACUAUUUGUCUUGAAUAUUGUGGAGGUAAGCGGAAUAUGUCAUGUAGCGGUGAAAUGCUUAGAUAUGACAUAGAACACCAAUUGCGAAGGCAGCUUACUACACAAUGAUUGACGCUGAGGCACGAAAGCGUGGGGAUCAAACAGG
rnacentral:rRNA from 1 species